rnacentral:rRNA from 1 species
AUUGAACGCUGGCGGCAGGCUUAACACAUGCAAGUCGAACGAGUGGCGGACGGGUGAGUAAUGCCUGGGAAUCUAGCUGAUGGAGGGGGAUAACUACGGGAAACUGUAGCUAAUACCGCGUACCAUAGGAUGAGCCCAAGUGGGAUUAGGUUGUUGGUGGGGUAACGGCUCACCAAGCCGACGAUCUCUAGCUGGUCUGAGAGGAUGACCAGCCACACUGGGACUGAGACACGGCCCAGACGCCUACGGGAGGCAGCAGUGGGGAAUAUUGCGCAAUGGGGGCAAGCAGACGCAGCCAUGCCGCGGGAAUGAAGAAGGCCUUCGGGUUGUAAAGUGCUUUCGGUAGCGAGGCGUUAACGACAGAAGAAGCACCGGCUAACUCCGUGCCAGCAGCCGCGGUAAUAC